GACGAACGCUGGCGGCGUGCUUAACACAUGCAAGUCGAACGGAAAGGCCCUGCUUUUGUGGGGUGCUCGAGUGGCGAACGGGUGAGUAACACGUGAGUAACCUGCCCUUGUCUUUGGGAUAACUUCAGGAAACUGGGGCUAAUACCGGAUAGGAGCUCCUGCUGCAUGGUGGGGGUUGGAAAGAUUCGGCGGUUGGGGAUGGACUCGCGGCUUAUGAGCUUGUUGGUGGGGUAGUGGCUUACCAAGGCUUUGACGGGUAGCCGACCUGAGAGGGUGACCGGCCACACUGGGACUGAGAUACGGCCCAGACUCCUACCGGACGCAGCAGGGGGGAAUAUUACACAAUGGGCUGGAGCCUGAUGUGGCAACGCCGCGUGCGGGAUGACGGCCUUCGGGUUGUAAACCGAUUUCGCCUGUGACGAAGAGAGAGUGACGGUAAUGGGUAAAGAAGCACCGGCUAACUACGUG
rnacentral:rRNA from 1 species